CACUCCUACGGGAGGCAGCAGUGGGGAAUAUUGGACAAUGGGCGCAAGCCUGAUCCAGCCAUGCCGCGUGAGUGAUGAAGGCCCUAGGGUUGUAAAGCUCUUUCACCGGAGAAGAUAAUGACGGUAUCCGGAGAAGAAGCCCCGGCUAACUUCGUGCCAGCAGCCGCGGUAAUACGAAGGGGGCUAGCGUUGUUCGGAAUUACUGGGCGUAAAGCGCACGUAGGCGGAUCGAUCAGUCAGGGGUGAAAUCCCAGGGCUCAACCCUGGAACUGCCUUUGAUACUGUCGAUCUGGAGUAUGGAAGAGGUGAGUGGAAUUCCGAGUGUAGAGGUGAAAUUCGUAGAUAUUCGGAGGAACACCAGUGGCGAAGGCGGCUCACUGGUCCAUUACUGACGCUGAGGUGCGAAAGCGUGGGGAGCAAACAGGAUUAGAAACCCCAGUAGUCCCAUGA
rnacentral:rRNA from 1 species